rnacentral:rRNA from 1 species
UGGCUCAUUAUAUAAGUUAUCGUUCAUUUGAUAGCACCUUACUACUUGGAUAACCGUGGUAAUUCUAGAGCUAAUACAUGCUGAAAACCCCGACUUCGGAAGGGGUGUAUUUAUUAGAUUAAAAACCAAUGCCCCCUGGGCUCCCUGGUGAUUCAUGAUAACUUCUCGAAUCGCACGGCCUUGCGCCGGCGAUGGUUCAUUCAAAUUUCUUCCCUAUCAACUUUCGAUGUUUGGGUAGUGGCCAAACAUGGUGGCAACGGGUAACGGAGGGUUAGGGCUCGACCCCGGAGAAGGAGCCUGAGAAACGGCUACUACAUCCAAGGAAGGCAGCAGGCGCGCAAAUUACCCAAUCCCGACUCGGGGAGGUAGUGACAAUAAAUACUGAUACAGGGCUCUUUUGGGUCUUGUAAUUGGAAUGAGUACAAUUUAAAUCCCUUAACGAGGAACAAUUGGAGGGCAAGUCUGGUGCCAGCAGCCGCGGUAAUUCCAGCUCCAAUAGCGUAUAUUAAAGUUGUUGUGGUUAAAAAGCUCGUAGUUGAACCUUGGGCCUGGCUGGCCGGUCCGCCUCACCGCGUGCACUGGUCCGGCCGGGCCUUUCCCUCUGUGGAACCCCAUGCCCUUCACUGGGCGUGGCGGGGAAACAGGACUUUUACUUUGAAAAAAUUAGAGUGCUCCAGGCAGGCCUAUGCUCGAAUACAUUAGCAUGGAAUAAUGAAAUAGGACGUGCGGUUCUAUUUUGUUGGUUUCUAGGACCGCCGUAAUGAUUAAUAGGGACAGUCGGGGGCAUCAGUAUUCAAUUGUCAGAGGUGAAAUUCUUGGAUCAAUUGAAGACUAACUACUGCGAAAGCAUUUGCCAAGGAUGUUUUCAUUAAUCAGGAACGAAAGUUAGGGGAUCGAAGACGAUCAGAUACCGUCGUAGUCUUAACCAUAAACUAUGCCGACUAGGGAUCGGACGAUGUUAUUAUUUGACUCGUUCGGCACCUUACGAGAAAUCAAA